CGCGCCCGCCGCGGCCGAGCAGCCGGCGCUGGGGGGGAGAGAGGGGGGCCGGCGGCCCCGCUACCGAUGAGGCGCCGCCGCCUGUGCCGGGCGGGGCUGAGCUUCAUCCACUGAUGACCAGAAAGGCAGUUAUGAAAAAAAUCUCUCUGAAACAGCUGGAUUAAAAUAUUAUUUGGACCUACUGUACUUUAAGAAAUCAUGAAAGAGAAUACUUGAAGAACACAAACCAUUAUGUGAAGGAAAAACCCCAAAGGAACUGGACAAAUUUGUCUCAAUUUUGACCUGUUGCAGACAGUCUGUCAAGAUUCCUAAGAAUUCACAGAUUGUGGUAAUUUCCCUCUAAAUUCCAUCCUCACGUGCUAAUACAGCCAGCUAAUCUAGAGGUCAAAUAUCCACCAGGUCUACUGCAGAUACGUUUUGAAAAACUCAGGGAAGGAAUGGUUGCUUCUGGAGACAAUAGUAAAGAAGAAUUGUUGUCUAGCAACCUGAUUUUGUCUUUACUUCCUGGAUUCUUCUUCUGCUUGAAGUAAGAGAAGAAGUCAUUAGUUACAUCGAUCACUUCUUAUUCUUCCUCUUCACUGCACUACAAGAUUGUGUGAAAAUAUGACUAUGGCUUAAACAUCAUGUGUAACAUGACAUUCUUCAGAAGAGGUGAUGCCUACACAGAAGUGAAUGUGAUGGACACAAAUUUAACAGAGGGAGAUAUAUAGCUAAUACAGAGCAAGUUAGCUUUUUCUGAAUCAGAUGUACAUUUAAUUUACAUAGCAUGCAGGGGCAUUGGAAUUGUUGUGGUUUAACAGUUAAAUAUUUUAAGAUUAAUAUAAUAACCUUGUCUAGCAGACUAUUAAUGCCUUUUUUGUUUCUCACCUGUUUUUAUAAAGCCUGUUUUAUAACCCUACAAGUCUGUUUUGCAAACAGUGCUAAUACCAGUCAAUUAUGCUAGCUGGCAUUUGACAAGACCUACAAACACCUAACAAAUUACCAACUGAGUCACUACAUGAGCAGGAAUUUACAGCUAUGAACAAUGCUACCAUUUCUAUUUAUAAGUGUUCCUGACUGUUCUUGUUUUGAUUACUUACACACACAUGCACAUAAGAGGGACUCAUCAGCUCAUUGCAGCCUCACAGUUGACUCAGUCUGGCAGCUGAUGCAUCUACAGCAGAUCUGCUGUUCCUUUGUUAAAAGCUGUCAUAACAGCCUGUAAGAAUUAUUAUAACUAACAUUGCAGAAUUCGGUGUUCCUGGACAAGGGUGGAUCCCCUUAUACUGAAAGCAUUAAAUAACAUCACUGUUUACAUAAUAAAUGACAUCUGACAAGGCACAGUAUCUUGUCCUUCUUAAUAAUAUUAAUUAUAUAUAUAACACACAGCACAUUAUAUAAUAUUAAUAAUAUUUUCUAUUAAUUCUGGAGAAAAUAUGACCUCUCACUCUACAAAAAGAAAUGGUCUAACAAAUAAUAUGAAAAGAAAUAAAAGAUCUUACAUUUGUGCUGUCAUACAUGCAGUCAGUGAUGAACAAAGGAAUGUCUGCGUUACACGCCUCAGGCUGUGAAAUAUUGCCACUUUUUUUUGAGAGCAAGGGCUUUUAGGGUGCAUUUGACCUCCCAUUCUUCUUUUGUGAUGUCAUCAGAAGACAGAACUCAAACCUCCAUGUCUUGAGAUCCACAGAGAAACUUCCAUAGCGCUAUAGCACCUGCUUGUAGCCAACAAUUUCUUUUACUGUAUCUUUAAACUCAAGACCUUUUAUAACUUUCUUUUUCUAUUGGAUUCACCUCUGAUGUGCUUGCUUCAAGAGGUGUAGUUUCUCUUAGGCAGGGAAAUUUCUUACCAUUUCAGGAGAACAUGCCAUUGCACAAAACAGCUCUCUAUCACACUCCAGCUCCCACUUCUUGAAGAUUUUCCCAUGCUGAGAAGAACAUAAAGAACCAUUAUAAUACUGAAGGUUGAAUAUGUAUUUCAAAUUCACAGACCUUUGCUUCAUAGAGUGUAAUACUCCCACAGGCACUGACUGAGAGGAAAAUGAGCCAGGCUUAACUUCUAGUCUUUCUUACUUACACACAAAGAAUAUGCAGGGGAAGCCAGUCUCUAGCUAGUCACUGCUCUGCUUUUGCGAGGCAGAGCAGAGGCGGUGCUCCAGGAUGCUGCUUGUAGCACCUACAUUGCCUGCUACUGUCACAAGUUAUCAUUAUCACAAGGCAGAGGAAAAGGGUGAGCCAAGGACGGCUGGAAAUGGCCAUCAGUUGACCUCUUCUGUCCUACUGGUGAUGAAGGAAGCCAUGAGAAGGGCUCAAAAAGGGGACACUGAGCACCCCAGGAAAACUGGGGAAUGCCCAGAACUUCAACAACCCCCACCUCCGCGAUACCCAGCCCAAACAUGUCACAUGAGUGCUCUGGCUGUUACUGGAAGAAGGUAAAUGAGCUAUGAGUGGGCACCGGAAGGGCUGGGAUGGAAAUACUGGCAACACAUGCUCUGGACAUUGUCAGAUGCUGAGGAGUAUGCAGCCAACACAAGAGCCGCUGUCACCCUUGCUGUAGGCCUUUUCCCCUCUUGUCUGCCUAAUUUUUGAUGUAGUGGCAAGACUUGGCUCUGAUCACAUUAGAACAGACAUUUUUGUGUUGCAAGAUACACUCAGGUAUCAUUUUGGACACCAUUUGGCAGCUCCUAGAAAACAAAUAAAGGUUUUCAACCUAGACACCAAAAUGAAGCUAGCAUUUCUUUCAAAGGCAAAAAAUGCUGAAAGGGUUUUCAUUUUAUGUUUGAAAACCAUCUUAUCAGAAUGUGCCAGUGGUUAAUUUUCCUAACAUUUUAUGUGUGUAACAUGAAGGGACAAUAAAACACUGGGAAAGGUAAAAACAAUCAGAGAUUGUAGACCAUAUGGUGAGGGCAGAUCUUGAAGAACAAUAAAGUCGUCAUCCUCUGGCCUUCAAUGUUCAUUUGUUUUCUGGGUUGUUUGUAAUGUGCCCUGUGGCAGCAUUAUAAAUCUUUUUCCUGUGUAAUAACUCUUACUACUUCUUCUCUUGCAAUUACAAAAGGUGUUUUAUUUUUAUCAGCCAUUCCAGACAACACAGAUCCUAUCUAAUGUAUAUCUGGAGCAGUAAAAAGAUUGAGUGUAUAAGUGUCUCAUAUAGUGUGAUACAUAAAAUCAAACAUUAAU